GAUGAAGAUGACCCGAUAUUUUUGGUGAAGAGCUUCUUUCAGACUCCUUCCCCUACAAGGAACUAUUGAAUGGGUUCCUAUGAGAAGUUGAAGAAAAGUUAUGGAUAAUGAAAACAAUGCUCCUUCGUUAUUAAAGUCGAUUGAGGACUAUGAUCCUAUAUUUUUCGAAUUGUUCGUCGAC